rnacentral:rRNA from 1 species
AUGGCGGGGAAGCAACGUCGUGCCAUCCGGCCUCCUCUUGCGGUGGGAGAACGAAUACUCCUGUGGCUCCGGCUAGCUCUGCACCCUCACGAACGGCACACCAUACUCGAUCGAUUCCUUAUCCUCUGGGUGCUCGACCUUCGACCUGUACGCCCACCACCUCCGCCUGACUGUCGCCUCGGGCGAAUCUGUUUGCUCCAUCGCCUAGAGGAGAUACUCGAUGAACUCAAAGGACUACGGCGUGACUGCCGCCGAGGAGUACAUGUACAUCGCUGCCCUCAUUGCCGUCGUCUCGCUCUUUCGCAUACAUUGCCACAUGGCCCUCACCGUCCUUGA